GCUAUGACGAGUUUACCAAAUAAAUAGAUUCGGAAGGUUUAUAUUAUGGAGACAAAGAAGACUCCACUAAAACCUAUAAAAUGGAUACAAAGGGAACGCCUUUUGAAAAGAAAAAUGAAAUUCAGUAAAUGCAAAAGAAUGAAGAUGGUCCCUCAUCAUUGCAAAUAUGGUUACAUGAUGCUGAGUGGAUUAGGAAGAUCAACUUAAACAGGCAUGACAGAGCUGAUCCUUGUAGGUUCAAUGCCAAUCAGCACUAGACAGAAUGAGUGCAUCUAUCAGGAGAUUGAAGAUCAGGAGCUGAGUACUGCAGUAACGUCCACACUCACCACUGUCUACACCACAGUGGG